rnacentral:lncRNA from 1 species
UGCCUGAACAUGCUGUGAAAGCUUGAGGAACACACCAGUGCCAGCCCUCAAUCUCCUCAACUGACUUGGGGAUUAGACUACAGGCUAUCGAUAAAGUUUCCAUCCAUCCUUAAAAUCCUAUGACUCCAAAAUUUCUAUCACAUGCAAAAGUAUAAAGGCAGGAAGGAACUGUACACAGAAUAAUAGAGACCCCACCAAUCCCAAUCUUAAUCUGGGAUGUAAGUAGAGAUGGUAGAGAGAAACUAGGUUAUGGAAGCUUUGAGAGCAAAGUUGGUUUAAACUUAUUGGAUGGGCCUAGGUUUUGUUUUUAAAUGUGCGUGUGAGAGAGAGAGAGAGAGAGAGAGUGUGUGCACGUGGUUGUAUGCAUAGAACAGCAAAAUAUACGAAAAGCC